rnacentral:rRNA from 1 species
CCCUGUCAACCCUGCGGCUGGUCUCAUUAUCACUUAUUCUUGUAACUGCGAAUGGCUCAUUAAAUCAGUUAUCGUUUAUUUGAUAAUACCUUACUACUUGGAUAACCGUGGUAAUUCUAGAGCUAAUACAUGCUGAAAAUCCCGACUUCGGAAGGGAUGUGUUUAUUAGAUAAAAAACCAAUGCCCUUCGGGGCUCUUUGGUGAUUCAUGAUAACUUUACGGAUCGCAUAGCCUUGCGCUGGCGACGGUUCAUUCAAAUUUCUGCCCUAUCAACUUUCGAUGGUAAGGUAUUGGCUUACCAUGGUUUCAACGGGUAACGGGGAAUUAGGGUUCGAUUCCGGAGAGGGAGCCUGAGAAACGGCUACCACAUCCAAGGAAGGCAGCAGGCGCGCAAAUUACCCAAUCCCGACACGGGGAGGUAGUGACAAUAAAUACUGAUACAGGGCUCUUUUGGGUCUUGUAAUUGGAAUGAGUACAAUUUAAACCUUCUUAACGAGGAACAAUUUGGAGGGGCAAGUCUGGUGCCAGCAGCCCGCGGUAAUUCCAGCUUCCAAUACCGUAUAUUAAAGUUGUUGCAGUUUAAAAGCUUCGUAGUUUGAAACUGGGGCCGGGCUGGGGGGCCCGCCUCACGCGGGGACUCCGUCGGGCGGGCCUUUCUUCUGGAAAACUACUGCCCUUCCUGGGGGUGUGGGGAAUCAGGACUUUUAUUUGAAAAUUAAGUGUCAAAGCGGGCUUUCCAAUACUUAAUGAAAAAAAUCGGGCGCGCGUUAUAUCUUGUGUUCUAAAAACACCAAUAUUAUCGAGAACACGGGCAUAACAUCUCUCCUUCGAGAGGUACUCUU